rnacentral:sRNA from 1 species
GCGCAUGAAAACGCCAUGCUUGCAUGAAGCGUUUUCUGCAUUUGGCGAACGUACAUACAUGAGCAAGUAGGCAGAUAUGCCGGAUUGCGAAUGGAUGUAGUGUGAUGAGAGUGCGUAGCACGAAGUCACACGUA